rnacentral:rRNA from 1 species
CGGGCGACGGUUGUCCCGGUUUAAGCGUGUAGGUGUGUGUUCCAGGUAAAUCCGGUUCACUUUAACACUGAGGCGUGACGACGAGGCACUACGGUGCUAAAGCAACAAAUGCCCUGCUUCCAGGAAAAGCCUCUAAGCAUCAGGUAACAUCAAAUCGUACCCCAAACCGACACAGGUGGUCAGGUAGAGAAUACCAAGGCGCUUGAGAGAACUCGGGUGAAGGAACUAGGCAAAAUGGUGCCGUAACUUCGGGAGAAGGCACGCUGACACGUAGGUGAAGUGAUUUACUCAUGGAGCUGAAGUCAGUCGAAGAUACCAGCUGGCUGCAACUGUUUAUUAAAAACACAGCACUGUGCAAACACGAAAGUGGACGUAUACGGUGUGACGCCUGCCCGGUGCCGGAAGGUUAAUUGAUGGGGUCAGCGCAAGCGAAGCUCCUGAUCGAAGCCCCGGUAAACGGCGGCCGUAACUAUAACGGUCCUAAGGUAGCGAAAUUCCUUGUCGGGUAAGUUCCGACCUGCACGAAUGGCGUAAUGAUGGCCAGGCUGUCUCCACCCGAGACUCAGUGAAAUUGAACUCGCUGUGAAGAUGCAGUGUACCCGCGGCAAGACGGAAAGACCCCGUGAACCUUUACUAUAGCUUGACACUGAACAUUGAGCCUUGAUGUGUAGGAUAGGUGGGAGGCUUUGAAGCGUGGACGCCAGUCUGCGUGGAGCCAACCUUGAAAUACCACCCUUUAAUGUUUGAUGUUCUAACGUGGACCCGUAAUCCGGGUUGCGGACAGUGUCUGGUGGGUAGUUUGACUGGGGCGGUCUCCUCCUAAAGAGUAACGGAGGAGCACGAAGGUUGGCUAAUCCUGGUCGGACAUCAGGAGGUUAGUGCAAUGGCAUAAGCCAGCUUGACUGCGAGCGUGACGGCGCGAGCAGGUGCGAAAGCAGGUCAUAGUGAUCCGGUGGUUCUGAAUGGAAGGGCCAUCGCUCAACGGAUAAAAGGUACUCCGGGGAUAACAGGCUGAUACCGCCCAAGAGUUCAUAUCGACGGCGGUGUUUGGCACCUCGAUGUCGGCUCAUCACAUCCUGGGGCUGAAGUAGGUCCCAAGGGUAUGGCUGUUCGCCAUUUAAAGUGGUACGCGAGCUGGGUUUAGAACGUCGUGAGACAGUUCGGUCCCUAUCUGCCGUGGGCGCUGGAGAACUGAGGGGGGCUGCUCCUAGUACGAGAGGACCGGAGUGGACGCAUCACUGGUGUUCGGGUUGUCAUGCCAAUGGCACUGCCCGGUAGCUAAAUGCGGAAGAGAUAAGUGCUGAAAGCAUCUAAGCACGAAACUUGCCCCGA